UGACGAAAGUUUGGACACACACCCCUCACAAACCAGAGCAAUUCACUAGAAGGCUCGUGGUUCCGAGAGGGAACAAUGCAUGUUUGAUGACGAAUGGGAGAUAGCUUCCUCUUAUGGCCUUCAAAUUUUUUCUAUGUGCAACGUGCACUAAUACAAGUGUCAUAUAAAAAUUUGGAAAAUUUCAGGGGUCAUUUCACCAUUUGAAGACAUUUAAGUGAUUUUCUUACCAUUUAAUGACCGUAAUUCAAAUUUGAACUACAUCUAUCUACAACAACUAACCAUAACGGUUUGAACAAAAUUCAUAUUUGUGUACUUGUGUGCGAGUUAAUUCCAUGUGCAGUAAAUUAGAAGCAAUUUCUAAACAUAUUGGUCUCACGACAUGGGCAUAUGCAUAUGUAUGCAUGGAGUGCCAUGGCAUUUAAAUUCCAAAAAAUUAAAAAUAUAUCAGAAACACAUGUAAACUUGGUUGAUGUAAUGUCAUGCCACCAAGAUGAUGUAGUAAAAAAAUUGGCAUGUUUGAUGAAAGUUUGGACACACACCCCUCAAAAACCGGAGGAAAUCACUAGAAGGCCCGUGGUUCCGAGAGGGAACAAUGCAAGUUUGAUGACGAAGAGGAGAUAGCUUCCUCUUACGGCCUUCAAAUUUUUUCUACGUUUAACGUGCACUACUACAACUGUAAUGUGAAAAUUUGGAAAAUUUCAGGGGUCAUUUGAGCAUUUAAAGACAUUUAAAUGAUUUUCUAGCCAUUUAAUGAACGUAAAUCAAAUUCGAACUACAUCUACCUGCAACGCCUAACCAUAAUGAUUAGAAAAAUCAUAAUUGUGUACUUAUGCGUGAGUUAAUUCCAUGUGCAGUAAAUUAGAAGGAAUUUUAAAACAUAUUGGUCUCACGACAUGGACACAUGCAUAUGUUUGCAUGGAGUUCCAUGGCAUUUUAAUUCCAAAAAAAAUAAAAAAAUGAUCAGAAACACAUGAAACCUUGGUUGAUGUAAUGUCAUGCCACCAAGAUGAUGUGGUACAAAAAUUGGCAUGUUUGACGAAAGUUUGGACACACAGCCCUCACAAACCAGAGCAACUCACUAGAAAGCUCGUGGUUCCGAGAGGGAACAAUGCAUGUUUGAUGACGAACGGGAGAUAGCUUCCUCUUACGGCGUCCAAAUUUUUUCUAUGUUUAACGUGCACUAAUACAACUGUAAUGUGAAAAUUUGGAAAAUUUCAGCAGUCAUUUGACCUUUUAAAGACAUUUAAGUGAUUUUCUAGCCAUUUAAUGACCGUAAUUGAAAUUUGAACUACAUCUACACGCAACGGCUAACCAUAACGGUUUGAAAAAUUAUAUUUGUGUACUUGUGUGCGAGUUAAUUCCAUGUGCAGUAAAUUAGAAGGAAUUUUCAAACAUAUUUGUUUCACGACAUGGACACAUGCAUAUGUAUGCAUGUAGUGCUAUGGCAUUUUAAUUCCAAAAAUAAUAAUAAUAAUGGUCAGAAACACAUGAAACCUUGGUUGAUUUAAUGUCAUGCCACCAAGAUGAUGUGGUAAAAAAAUUGGCAUGUUUGACGAAAGUUUGGACACACACCCCUCAGAAACCGGAGGAACUCACUAGAAGGCCCGUGGUUCCGAGAGGGAACAAUGCAUGUUUGAUGACGAAGAGGAGAUAGCUUCCUCUUACGCCCUUAAUUUUUUUUUCUACGUUUAACGUGCACAACUACAACUGUAAUGUGAAAAUUGGGAAAAUUUUAGGGGUCAUUUGACCUUUUAAAGACAUUUAAGUGCUUUUCUAGCCAUUUAAUGCCCGUAAUUCAGAUUUGAACUACAUCUACAUGCAAAGCCUAACCAUAAUGAUUAGAAAAAAAAUCAUAUUUAUGUACUUAUGUCCGAGUUAAUUCCAUGUGCAGUAAAUUAGAAGGAAUUUUCAAACAUAUUGGUCUCACGACAUGGACACAUGCAUAUGGAUGCAUGGAGUGCCAUGGCAUUUUAAUUCCAAAAAUAUAAAAAAAAUGAUCAAAAAAACAUGAAACCUUGGUUGAUGUAAUGUCAUGCCACCAAGAUGAUGUGGUAAAAAAAUUUGGCAUGUUUGACGAAAGUUCGGACACACAGCCCUCACAAACCGGAGCAACUAUCUAGAAAGCUCGUGCUUCCGAGAGGGAACAAUGGACGUUUGAUGACGAACGGGAGAUAGCUUCCUCUUAUGGCCUCCAAAUUUUUUCUACGUUUAACAUGCACUAAUACAACUCUAAUGUGAAAAUUUGGAAAAUUCCAGCGGUCAUUUGACCUUUUAAAUAUAUUUAAGUGAUUUUCUAGCCAUUUAAUGACCGUAAUUGAAAUUUGAACUACAUCUACACGCAACACCUAACCAUAAUGGUUUGAAAACUCAUAUUUGUGUACUUGUGUGCGAGUUAAUUCUAUGUGCAGUUAAUUAUAAGGAAUUUCCAAAUAUAUUUGUCUCACGACAUGGACACAUGCAUAUGUAUGCAUGGAGUGCCAUGGUAUUUUAAUUCCAAAAAAAAUGUUCAGAAACACAUGAAACCAUGGUUGAUGUAAUGACAUGCCACCAAGAUGAUGUGGUAAAAAAAUUGGCAUGUUUGACGAAAGUUUGGACACACACCCCUCGCAAACCGGUGCAAUUCACUAGAAGGCUCGUGGUUCCGAGAGGGAAAAAUGCAUGGUUGAUGACGAACGGGAGAUAGCUUCCUCUUACGGCCUUCAAAAUUUUUCUACGUUUAACAUGCACUAAUACAACUGUAGUGUGAAAAUUAGGGAAAAUUUCAGGGGUCAUUUGACCUUUUAUAGACAUUUAAGCGAUUUUCUAGCCAUUUAAUGACCGUAAUUGAAAUUUGAACUACAUCUACAUGCAACGCCUAACCAUAACGGUUAAAUAAAUCAUAUUUGUGUACUUGUGUGCGAGUUAAUUCCAUGUGCAGUAAAUUAGAAGGAAUUUUCAAACAUAUUUGUCUCACGACAUGGACACAUGCAUAUGUAUGCAUGGAGUGCCAUGGCAUUUUAAUUCCAAAAAAUUUAAAAAAUAUCAGAAACACAUGAAACCAUGGUUGAUGUAAUGACAUGCCACCAAGAUGAUGUGGUAAAAAAAUUGGCAUGUUUGACGAAAGUUUGGACACACACCCCUCACAAACCGGAGCAAUUCACUAGAAGGCUCGUGGUUCUGAGAGGGAACAAUGCAUGUUUAAUGAUGAACAGGAGAUAGCUUCCGCUUACGGCCUUCAAAUUUUUCUACAUUUAACGUGCACUACUACAACUGUAAUGUGAAAAUUUGUGAAAUUCUAGCGGUCAUUUGAACUUUUAAAGAGGUUUACAUGAUUUUCUAGCCAUUUAAUGAACGUAAUUCAAAUUUGAACUACAGCUACAUGCAACGGCUAACCAUAACGGUUUGAAAA
rnacentral:lncRNA from 1 species